rnacentral:rRNA from 1 species
CAGAGUUUGAUCAUGGCUCAGAUUGAACGCCGGCGGCAGGCCUAACACAUGCAGGUCGAGCGGUAGCACAGAGAGCUUGCUCUCGGGUGACGAGCGGCGGACGGGUGAGUAAUGUCUGGGAAACUGCCUGAUGGAGGGGGAUAACUACUGGAAACGGUAGCUAAUACCGCAUAACGUCGCAAGACCAAAGUGGGGGACCUUCGGGCCUCAUGCCAUCAGAUGUGCCCAGAUGGGAUUAGCUAGUAGGUGGGGUAACGGCUCACCUAGGCGACGAUCCCUAGCUGGUCUGAGAGGAUGACCAGCCACACUGGAACUGAGACACGGUCCAGACUCCUACGGGAGGCAGCAGUGGGGAAUAUUGCACAAUGGGCGCAAGCCUGAUGCAGCCAUGCCGCGUGUGUGAAGAAGGCCUUCGGGUUGUAAAGCACUUUCAGCGGGGAGGAAGGCGUCAAGGUUAAUAACCUUGGCGAUUGACGUUACCCGCAGAAGAAGCACCGGCUAACUCCGUGCCAGCAGCCGCGGUAAUACGGAGGGUGCAAGCGUUA